AAACAGUAGAAUCAGUUUGAGACUAAAAUUAAAAUCACUAUGAAUUUUUUUCUCAAAUUUCAAAAUUAUUCUUAUGAGCAGUAUUCACACGCCCGUGUGGAUUGCCAGUGUGACCCACAUUACCUUGUCAUUAAGUCAUACGACCGUGUUGAGAGCUUGUGUAACUCUCUGUUUAUGACAUUGUCAUCAAGUGGAUUUCACAUAGCCGCAUCGUACGCCCGUGUUUUAGACUGUAUCCUUCACACGACUGAGACACAUGUCCGUGUCUUUGCUCGUGUGCUUAUUUUUAAGCUAAAAUUCAAGACACAGGGGUUACACGGUCUGGCCACAUGCCCGUGUACCAAGCCGUGUGGACUCAAAAUGAGUAUCUAACAGUUAAUUUUCUAACUCUACAAAUUUCAACCACAAUCAACAUAAAAUACUUAUGUUCCAUCAAUCUAGACACAAUCAAAUACGCUUAUAAUUUGCCAAAUUUAACAUUUUAUAUAUUAUACAAUAUUCAAUUCUAAUCACUUAUCAAAUAUCAUCAAAUAAUUCAAAUUCACACCAAAUAAGCCAAAUCUUAUUAUGUACCAUUACCAAAUCUCAAUCUACUUAUUUCAUCCUUACAUUCUCAAUUCAAAAUGACAUACACGUAAGACACCCUAGGUACAUGCCAUUACCAAUAAUUAGCAUACUUUACCUUAUUGAAUUCGGGAUCAUCCUGGGAUGCUGAUUCAACAUUCUAGCUUUAACUUAUCCUGCGCACGGAAACAAACCGUACGUUGAGUAUGGAUAUACUCGGUGGUAUUUCUAUAAUCCGAACAUCAAAUAAAAUGAAAAUAUAACAAACACUUAAAAAUCAUAUAAUAAUUAGAAUUAUUCAAUUAUUUAAUUUCGUAGAUAAAUUGUUUAUAACUUAUUUCAUUCUUUUUACUUACUAACCUGUAUAGUUUUCCGUAAUACGUUCACACGUCAUUUUAAAACAAUAAUAUUAUUCACUUCUCAAUCACCGUUCUAUACUUAUUCAUUUCAUUAACAGUUAUUAUUAUUCAUAUCAUUAUCUUGCUAUUCUAGAUAACUUCCACUAUAUACAUUCGAUUCAUAUAUCUCAAUUCACAUUUCAAUUCAUCAAGUGGCAUCAAAUAUCAUCAAUUCGAACUUCAAUCAUUUCAUGAACCUUUGGUUCAAGUUUCAAUCUCAUAUCUCAAUUUCAAUUCUCAAUUCAAUUUCUCAUUUCAUUUCAAUAGCUCAAUCAAUCAAAUUUAUUCGAUUUAUCUCUUUAUUUAUUUACUCCUAUUAACAAGACUCGGACCUUGGCGGAUACACUAUCCAACCAAACACACCAGAUUGGCACCCAGUGCCUCAUUGGAUAAUUCGAAGCAAUAGUUGACACCCAGUGCCUCAUCGGCCUAGCCAAAGUAAAGUUGGUAUCCAGUACCUCAUCGAAUUUAUCCAAAGAAAUAUAGUGACACCCAGUGUCUCAUCGACUCAAGGUUGAAGUAUCCCUGAACACUUCCAAUCUUAUGGCAUGCCAACUAUAUCCGACCUAGCCCGAUACUGUUAGUAGGGUAUCUAAAUCACAUUUAAUUUUAUUUCAAUCACAAUUUCUCACAUUUUGAAUUCAAUCAUUUUUCCACCUUUCAAUCAAUAUUCAAUCCAUUUAUUUACACAUUUUUCACAAUAAUCAUAUCAAUUUCAUCAUAUUCUCAAUCAGUAAAAUUUUCAAUAUAACAUACAUUCAAUAUUUAAUUUUUACCUCACUCACAUAUAUCAUAUAAAUUCAAUUCAAUUCAAUCAAUAUAAUUUCAAUAAAUUCAUUAUAUAUCAAAUCAAUCCAUUUCAAUUAUAAAACACAAUAAUUCUAACACUAACAAUUUCCAUAUGCAUUAAAUAAAAAUACAACAAUUAAAUACUAAUUUCGGAUUAUAGAAAUACAAACCGUAAUUUCUAAGCUAACUCCCGUUGUCUUUGCCUUUUUCCUUGCUUAGCUGAGGCUUUCGGCACAAUGUUAGCUACGGUAAUUAAAAUAAUUAUACUAUUAAUUACAGUAUUAAUUAUAAUAAAUAAUUAAAUUUCUAAUCAAUUCUCACCUUAUUCCUAAUUUAAUCCUUACUAAGUUUACUCACUUUCCUAAUUAAAUUCACUCUUUAUUUCCAUUCAAAUUUUAUCCAAACUCAAAUUUAAUUAUUAAAUUUCCAGCAUAUUUUCAUAAUUUUGAAUUUAUUUCCAUUUAAGCCCUAAAACUCAAAACUUAUAGCUUAGUUUACAAUUCAAUCCUUUAUUCAAUUCAAAUCAAAAUUUCUAUCAAAUAAACCCCCAAUUCCAUCAUUUUAUUCAACAUGAACCAUAUUUAGAAAUCUAAUAACUUUCAAAAUUUCCACUUAAAACAAGUAGUAUUUAUCUCUAGGAUUUCAAAAACUCAAAAAUCAUAAGAAAAGGGGCUAAAUUGACUUACCAAAUUAACUUGAAACAUUUAAAACCAUAUUUUUCCCUUUUUCUUUUCUUUCUUUCUCCCUUCUCUGUUUCGUCCCCUGCUAUUCUGUUUCUUUCCUUCUUUUUAUUCUUUUGUUUCUUAUAUAUAUAUAAUAACAAUAAUAACUAUAAUAAAAAUCUAUUUAAUAACAAAUAUUUAUUUAACACUUGUACCAAUCAUUUUUAUACGCUUGUUUUUCUUUUCUUUUAUAUAUAUAUAAUAACUUAAUAAUAUACUUAUAUAAUAAGUAAACAUACAUGUAUUUUACAAAUGUAUGUAUACUAAUAUUACACAUGUCAUUAUACAUACCAUAC
rnacentral:lncRNA from 1 species